rnacentral:rRNA from 1 species
UACGUAGGGGGCAAGCGUUAUCCGGAAUUACUGGGUGUAAAGGGAGCGUAGACGGUAAUGUAAGUCUGGAGUGAAAGGCGGGGGCCCAACCCCCGGACUGCUCUGGAAACUAUGUUACUAGAGUGCAGGAGAGGUAAGCGGAAUUCCUAGUGUAGCGGUGAAAUGCGUAGAUAUUAGGAGGAACACCAGUGGCGAAGGCGGCUUACUGGACUGUAACUGACGCUGAGGCGCGAAAGCGUGGGGAGCAAACAGG